GGGUCUGCCGGUCCUUCCAAUACGGCAGCCUUCUGCCUGCCCAGGGAAGAACCACCUCCCCUCUCCUGGCUGAGGUCAGAGAGGCCUGGCCUCCAAGGGAGCAACUCGGGGCUGGGGCUGUUGGCCAAGGUCGAGGUCAGACCGUCAACAGCAGCUCGUGAGCAACCGUGAUGUCAUCUCAGAACCCAAACAAGGCCUUCCCGGCAGGCAGAACGAGGGACCUGUGACCACAGGGGCUGCCAGUCAGCCAGCCAGAUCUCCAGCCUCAAAGCUCGGUUGGGGGCGGAGAACAAGCGGAAACACGAGAUGCCGCGGCCAGGCUAGGAGCCCGUGAGGGGAUGAAGUCCACUGACAGGUCAUGAUCUCAAGGUCCGUGAGUUCGAGCCCCGCGUCGGACUCUGUGCUGACAGCUCGGAGCCUGGAGCCUGCUUCGGAUUCUGGGUCUCCCUCUCUCUCUCCGCCCCUCCCCUGCUCAUGCUCUGUCUCUCUCUGUCUCAAAAAUAAAUAAAAACACUAAAAAAAA